rnacentral:lncRNA from 1 species
GAAAAAGAGUCUACUUUAGAUAUAUUUCAUGUGUGCUUCAUUGAUAAAUCUUAAGAAAGCAAUAUUAAUUUCUAGAUUGCUACUCCUUAUUCGAGAAUUAGUAGAUAAUAUUUAGAGACUUAUUGAGUAAUGUGGUGGAAUCUGUUAUCUUAGUUAAUUCGCAUCAAGGUAAUCUUUAUCUAUUUUAUUUGUCUUAACUACUUCACCAUCAACUUUCAUUCAAUUAGGUUAGUGUUAAAUUAAUUUGGAUUAGAUUAGUUUUUUCUAAUUUUCAUACAUUCCCUGUGGAUUUGACCUCGCUCUUGUAUAUCUGUACUGCAACUGAUUCGUGCGCUUAUAAGUAACAUUUUAAAACACAUCACCGCCAAGGUGCCGCCUUGACCUGCCUUGACCCUAUUCGGCCCUACUAGGCACACCUAGGGCAACCAAAGGGGUGCACAACCCACAUAGGGCCGCUAAGCGGCCGUCUUGACCCGCCCUGGCCUGACCACCUUAACCCUCUUAGGGCUGCCAAGAGGUUGCCUUAACCCUUCUAAGGCAACCAAGGGGCCGCCUUAACCCAGCUAGGGUAGCCAAGAGGCCGCCUUUACCCGUCUUGGCCCGCCUUGAUCUGCCUAGGGGUUGCCAAGACCCGCCUAGAGUCGCCAAGGGGCCGCCUUGACCCGCCUUGGCCCGACUUGGCCUGUCUUUACCCGUCUUGGACUGCCUUGCUGCCUUGACCCACCUUGUUCCGCCUUAGGCUGCCUUGACAUUCCUAGACCCGCCUAAGGUUGCCUUGACCCUCCUAGGCUGCCUAAGGCCACCAAGAAGCCGUCAUGACUCGCCAAGGGGUCGCCAUGACCCUCCUAGGCCCAUUUAGGGCUGUCUUAACCCGCCUAUGGCCGUCGAUGGGCCAUCUGAACCCACCUAGAGCAGCCAAGGGGUCGUCUUGACCCACCAAGGGGAUGCCUUUACACGCCUAGGGUUGUUUUGACCUCCCUAGGGGCCUUAUGGACCCAUCUUGACCCGCCUUGGCCCGCCAUGACUCGCCGUGACCCUCUUAGGCUCGUCUAGGGCCGCCUUGACCCUCCUAAAACCGGCUAGGGCCGCCUUGACCCUCCUAGACUGGCCAAGGGGCUGCCUUGACCCUCCUUGGACCGCCUUGGCCCACCUUGACCUGCCAUGACCCGCCUUGGACCGCCAUUACCCGCCUUGACCCUCCUAGGCCCUUCUAGGGCUGCCUUGACUCUCCCAGACCUGCCUUGACCCUCCUAGGACCACCAAGAAGCCGUCAUGACUCGCCAAGGGGUCGCCAUGACCCUUCUCAGCCAAUCUAGGGCCGCUAAGUGGCCCCCUUAACCCGCCUUGACCCACCUCGGCUUUGCUAGUCCCACGUUGGGCAGCCAAAGGGGAGCCAUGACCCACCUAUAGCCGCCAAGGGGCUACCUUUACACGCUUAGGGCUGUUUUGACCUCCCUAAGGCCGUUAUGGGCCUGUCUUGACCCGUCUAGGGGCUGCCUUGACCCUCCUAACCCGUCUAGGGCCACCAAGAAACCACCAUGACUCGCCAAGGGGUCGCCAUGACCCUCAUAGGCCGGUCUAGGGCCGCCAUAAUGACUUGGAUACAAUUCACGCAAACGAACUUAUUGUUGUCAAGAUAGGAAAGUAUUUGUGCCCAAGUUAUCGUACCACGGGAAUUAGUGGCUAACCCACAAUCCUAAGCUAAUCGGAACAAAAGUCACUAAGCAAACAAAGAAAAAGAAGAAAAAUGCUACUCUAAAGCACCAAGCCUUAGCAAUGCUCGGCUUCGGUUAUCACCAAAGCCUAAUCAAUACUAAAUGCCUAGUGAUGGGUAAUUACAAUGAGUUGAUAUAUAAAAUGGAGAUUGAAUGAGAAUUAAUUAAAUUGACGAAAAACUAAAUGAAAAAUAAACUACUGACUAAUGAACUAGAGAAUGAUGAGAACAUGGGAGUGUCGGGUGAUCCACACUAACUCAUAUGCAAACAACGAUACCAAUUUCACAAAUACAUAUCCUAUUGUAUCAAGUCCCGUAUCUAAUACCCGUUAAGGCUACUAGACCAAUUAUCCUUUCGGUGUAUCGAUUAUGCCGGUUAAGGCCACAAUCGACUCUCUAACAUGAGCAUUACGCCAGUUAAGGCCGUAACAUCCAAAUUAGAUGCCUAGAGUGCAAGAUAAUAGAGACCCAAGCAAGCUUAGCUACAAUCAAGCUAGCUAAUGGUUACCACGCUUCAAAUCAUAGAUGCACAAGACUAAUAAGUUGUCAAUUUAUCAAUCUAUCCAUCAAUUGUUCAUAACAUUAUCUCAAAGGGUGACAAAGCCUAGAAACAUGCUUAUAAGGACCAACACAUUCGGAUUAAAAGCAUAUACAAUGAAAAUUGCAUCUAUUAUAAUUAAAGUACCAACAUUUAUACAAAAUGAGUUUAGGGCUUCACACCCUAACUCCCAAAAUAGAACUACUCUCUACCCAUAAUCAAAUACAUCAUCAAUAGCGUAUAAGAUAAAGAAAUAGACAAUAAGGAAGAGAGGGAGAGAGCUAGCUUGGUCACUUCAAGCUAUGAGCUAGUAUGAACCCAAAAAAGCCUUUCACCCAACUACCCAAUAGAAGAGGUGGUGCUCUUGAAGAUGAUGCCUUGAAAGCCUUGAGUGAGUCCUUCAGAUUCCCAAAGAAUCUCUAUCUAAUUUAUGAAAUGAGAAAAGAGGAUGAGAAGGUGAAUCGGUGGGAGAGGGCAAAGCACUUCCCUUCUUCACUGUGCGGCUGUGGUCUUCUCUGUCUGCGGCCCGUCUUCAAAAGUGGAUGAAUGAGAUGAUUAUAUAUGACUUGGUCCGGUUGUGUGGCCGUAGAGGAAAAGAAGUGUUUAGGCCACGUGGCAGCUCCUCAUUGGAAGAGGCAUGGGAUUAGCACAUGAGAGGGAAAUGGAAAAUGAGCACGUUUUGGCCUUUGGCAAUCAUAAUUAACCAAUUAACAAUUGGUUAAUUAAUUGAUUAACUACCAAUUUACUUCUUUCUCUUCUUCUUUUUGAGAAGAACUUCAUUUCGCUCUGAAAUUGUGCUAAUUCCCUAUGAAAUCUGCAUCAUUCUUAUUUCCUACAAAUAAACAAAAUGGGAUUAAUUACAUCGUAAUUGGCUUGAAUAUUAGCUUAGUUCAUGUGUUUAGAAUAUAAUUAAGUGUAUAAAAAUACACAUAAUCACAUAACCCGCCUUAGAGUUGGCUACAUCUGAACCGUUAGAUUUUUAACCGCAAAAUCUGGGCUGUCCAUUUGAGAUCAUAUAUUGAUGUGGAUCAACUUGGACUUCAUUAGAUGGAGUCCAGACUGACUUCGUCUCCACUCUUCGAUAGUUCUCUGUCGUCCGGCCGCCUUGACCCUCCUAGACCCACCUACGGCCACCAAGAAGCUGCCUUGACCCUCCUAGACCCGCCUAGGGCCUCCUUGACCCUCCUAGGCCCGCCAAGGGGCUGCUUAGAGCCGCCAUGGGGCCGCCUUGACCUGUCUUGGACUGCCUUGACCCGCCUUGAACCGCCUUGACCUGACUAGGGCCGCCUUGACCCUCCUAAACUUGCCUAGGGCCGUCAUGGGGCUGUCUUGACCAGCCUUGGCCCGUGUUGAACCAUCUUGGACCGCCUUGGCCCGUCUUGACCCGCCUUGACCCGUCUGGGCCCGCUUUGAACAGCCCUGGGCCGGCUUGACCCUCCUAGGGCCGCUUUGAUCCUCCUAGACCUGCUUAGGGCCACCAAUUAAGAAGCCGCCAUGACCCGCCUAAGCUCGUCAAAGGGCUGCUUUUACACGCCUUGACCCUCUUUGGCCCUCCUAGGGCCACCUUGACCCGUCUAGAGCCGCCUUGGCUCGCCUUAGGCCGCCUAGACCCGUCUUGUCCCGCCUUGACCCUCGUCGGCCCAUCUAGGCGCACCUAGGGCAGCCAAGAGGGAGCCAUGACCCACCUAGAGCCACCAAGGGGCUGCUUUUACAUGUCUUAACCCGUCUAGGGCCACGAAGGGGGCCGCCUUGACACGCUUAGGGCCGCGAAGAGGGCCACCUUGACACGCCAAGGGGCUAGGGCCCCCCAUGACCUGCCUAGGGCUGCCAAGGGGCUGCCUACAUCUGCCAUGGGGCCACCUUGACCCGCCUUGACCCGUCUUGACCCGCCAUGACCUGUCUUGGCCCGCCUUGACCCGCCUUGGACCACCUUGACCCGCCUUGGGCCGCCAUGACCCGCCUUGAACCGCCUUACGCCACCUUGACCCUCUUAGACCCACGUAGAGCCACCAAGAAGCCGCCAUGACUCGUCAAGGGGUCUUAAUAACUCUUUUAGGGCCGCCUUGACCCAUCUGAGUCCUCCUUAACCAGUCUAAGGCUACCUUGACUUCACCCUCCUAGGGCAGCCAAGGGGGUGCCAUGACCCACCUGGGGCCGCCACGAGGCUGCCUUUACACGCCAUGACCCUCAUACGCCCGCCUAGGGCCACCUUGACCCGUUUAGGGAUGCCAAGACGCGGCCUUGACCUGCCUAGGGCCGCCAAGGGGCAGCCUUGACAAGCCUAGGGGACGUCAUGAUCCGCCGAGGGGCUGCCUUUACACGCCUUGGGUUAUUUUGAUUUCCCUAGGGCCCGCCAUGACCCGCCUAUGGCCGCCAAGGGGCUGCCUAGGGCCGCCAUAGGGCCACCUUGACCCGUCUAGGGCCGCCUUGACCCGCCUUCUGCCGCCUUGACCCGCUUUGGCCAGCCUUGAUCGACCUUGACCCUUCUUGACCCGCCUUGUACCGCCUUGACCCUCCUAGAAUCGCCAAGGGGCUGCCUAGGGCCGCCAUGGACCGCCUUGGCUCGCCUUUACCCUCUUUAGACCCGCCUUGGCUUGCCUUGGGACGUCAUGACCCGUCUUGAACCACCUUGGGCCACCUUGACCCUCCUAGACUUGUCUAGGCCACCAAGAAGCAGCCAUGACUCGCCAUGACCUGUCUAGGCACGUCAAGGUGCUGCCUUUACACGCCUUGACUUCCUAGGCCCGCCUUAAACCUCCUUGGCCCGCCUUAGGCCUCCUUGACCUGUCUUGCCCCGCCUUGGGCUGCCUUGACCCGUCUAGCUCGGGCCACUAAGGGACGUCUUGACCCGCUAAGGGGUGCCUUUACGCGCCUAGGUCUGUUUUGACCUCCCUAGGGCCGCCGAGGGCCGCCUUGACCCAUCUAAAGCCGAGAAAGGGGGCCACUUUGACACGCCUAGGGCCGCCAAAGGGGCCACCUUGACAAACCUAGGGACACCAAAGGGACGUCUUGACUCGCCAAAAGGUGCCUAUGCACGCCUAGGUCUGUUUUGACCUCCCUAAGGCCCACCAUGACCCGCCUAGGGCCGCCAAGAGGUUGCCUACAGCCUCCAUGGGGCUACCUUGACCCGUCUUGGGCCGUUUUGACAUGUUUUGGCUCGCUUUAACCCGCCUUGGCCUACUUUGACCCGCCUUGAUCAGCCUUAUCAUGUCUUGGGCUGCCUUGAACCUCCUUGGGCCGCCAAGAAGCCACCAUGACUCGCCAAGGUAUCGCCUUAACCCUCAUAGGGCAGACAAAGGGGUGCCAUGACCCAUCUAGGGCCGCCAAGGGUCUGCCUUUACAAGCCUUGACCUGUCUAGGGUCGCUAAGAGGCCGCCUUGACAUUUCUAGGGCCACCAAGAGGGCCGCCUUGACACGCCUAGGGCCGCCAAGGGGACGUCUUGACCCGCCAAACGGGCUGCCUUUACACGCCUAAUACUGUUUUGACCUCCCUAGGGCUCACCGGGACCCGCCUAGGGCCUGUUUGACUCGCCUUGGACCGCCUUGACCCUCCUUGGGCCGCCUUAACCCGCUUGACCCGCCAAGGGCCGCCUUGACCCUCCUGGACCCGCCAAGGGACUGCCUAGGGCCACCUUGACCCGCCUUAGACCGGCUUGGGCCGCCUUGACCUGCAUUGGCCCGUCUUCGGCCGCCUUGACCCGCCUUGAACGCCUUGACCCUCCUAGACCCGCCUAGGGCCACCAAGAACCCGCCAUGACCCGCCUUGACCCGCCAAGGGCCGCCUUGACCCUCCUAGACCCGCCAAGAGACUGCCUAGGGCCGCCAUGGGACCACCUUGACCCGCCUUGGACCCGCUUGGGCCGCCUUGACCCGCCUUGACCCUCCUAGACCCACCUAGGCCCACCAAGAAAUCGCCAUGACUCGCCAUGGGGUCGCCAUGACCCGCCUAGGCUCGUUUAGGGUCGCCAAGAGACUGCCUUAACCCACCUUGGCCCGCCAUUGGCCGCCUUGACCUGACUUGGACCGCCAUGACCCUCCUCGGCCCACCUAAGGCAGCCAAGGGGGCGCCAUGACGCACCUAGAGCUGCCAAGUGGCUGCCUGUUCACGCCUUGACCCGUCUAGGGCAGCCAAGAGGCCGCCUUGAUUUGCCUAGGGCACGCUUAGGGCCGCUAAGGGGAUGUCUUGACCCACCAAGGGGUUGCCUUUACAUGCCUAGGGCUGUUUUGACCUCCCUAGGGCCGCCAAGGGAUCGCUUUGACCAGUUUAGGGGCUGCCUUGACCCUCCUAGACUUGCCUUAACCCUCCUAGACCCGCCUAGGGUAACCAUGAUGCCGCCACGACUCGCCAAGAUGUCACCAUGACCCUGUUAGGCCGGUCUAGGGCCGCCAAGGGGCCACCUUAACCUACUUUGGCCUGUCUUGUCCCGUCUUGGCCCGUCUUGACCCUCCUAGACUAGCCAAGGGGCUGCCUAGGGCAACCAUGACCCACUUAAGGCCGCUAAGGGACUGCCUUUACAUGCCUAGGGCUGUUUUGACCUCCCUAGAGCCCGCUAAGGGGCUGCCUAUGGCAGUCAUGGGGCCACCUUGACUCAUCUAGGGCCGCCUUGACCCGCCUUGACCCACCUUGAACCGCCUUAACCCGCCUUUGGCCACAUUAACUCACCUUGAACCGGCUUGGGCUGCCUUGACCCGCCUUAAACCGCCUUAACCAUUCUAGACCCGGCUAAGGCCAUCUUGACCCGCAUAGAACCGCCUACGGCCACUAAGAAGCCGCCAUGACUUGCCAAGGGACGCCAAGGGGUUGCCUUUACACGCCUAAUGCUGGUUUGACCUCCCUAGGGCCCGCCAUGAUCCUCCUAGGGCCGUCUUGACCUGUCUAGGGCAGCGAAAGGGCCGUCAUGACACGCUUAGGGCCACCAAGGGGACGUCUUGACCCGCCAAAGGGGUGCUUUUACACGCCUAGGUCUGUUUUGACCUCCCUAGGGCCCGCUAUGACCCGCCAAGGGCAGCCAUGGGGCUACCUUGACGCGUCUUGGGCCGGUUUGACUCGCCUUGGCCUGUCUUAACCCGCCUUAACUCGCCUUGUCCUGCCUUGACCCGCCUUGGACUGCCUUGGGCCGCCUUGACCCGCCUUGGCCAACCUUGGACCGCCUUGGAUCACCUUGACCCACCCUGACCUGCCUUGGGCCGCCUUGAACCGCCUUGGGCCGCUUAGGGCCACAAAGAAGCCGCAAUGACUCGCCAAGGUGUCACCAUGACCCUUCUAGGCCCGUCUAGAGCUGCCAAGGGACCGCUUUAACCUGCCUUCACUCCUCUUGGGCAGCCUUGACCCUCCUCGGCCCUUCUAGGCCCACCUAGGGAAGCUAAGGGGGCGCCAUGACCCACGUAGGGCCGCCAAGGGCCUGCCUUGACAUUCCUAGGGCCGCCAAGGACCCGCCUUGACCAGUCUAAGGCCGCCAAGGACCCGCCUUGACCAGUCUAGGGCCGCCAAGGACUCGCCUUGACCAGUCUAGGGCCGUCAAGGACCCGCCUUGACCAGUCUAGGGCCGCCAAGAGGCCGUCUUGACAUUCCUAGGGCCGCUAAGUUGGCCGCCUUGACACGCUAAAGGCCGCAAAGGGGACGUCUUGACCCGCCAAGGGGCUGCCUUACAUGCCUAAUGCUGUUUUGACCUCCCUAGUGCCCGUCAUGACCCGCCUAGGGCCCGCCUUGGACCGCCUUGACUUGACUUGGGCUGCCUUGACCUGCCUUGACUCGCCAAGGGCCGCCUUGACAUUCUUAGACCCACCAAGGGGAUGCCUAAGGCCACCAUGGGGCCACCUUGACCCGCUUUGGACCGGCUUGGGCCGCCUUGACCGGCCUUGACCCGCCUUGAACAGCCUUGGGCCGCCUUGACCCUCCUAGACCCGCCGAGGGCCACCAAGAAGCUGUCAUCACUUGCCAAGGGGUCGCCAUGACCCGCCUAGGCCCGUCUAGGGUCGCCAAGAGACCGCCUUAACCCGCCUUGAUCCUCCUCGGCCCUGCUAGGCCUACCUAAGCCCAUCUAGGGUCGCGAAGGGGGCGCCAUGACGCACUUAGGGCUGGCUUUUCAUGCCUUGACUAUCCUAGGCUCGUCUAGGGCCACCUUGACCCGUCUAGGGCCGCCAAGAGACCGCCUUGACUUGCCUAGGGCCGCCAAGGGGACGUCUUGACCCGCUAAGUGGUUGUCUUUACUCGCCUAGGGCUGUUUUGACCUCCCUAGGGCCGCCAAGGGACUGUAUUGACCCGUUUAGGGGCUGCCUUGACCCUCCUAGACCCGCCUAGAUUCGCCUUAACCCUCCUAGACCCGCCUAGGGCAGCUGUUACACCCCUAAAGUCUCAUAGGCGGCAAGGUGCGCUGCAUGGGUUGUCCUUGCACCAUGUCGGGACGCAUGAAGGCACAAGCAAGGAUAAGCGCAAGUAGGAUGGCAAAGUUGGUAUGCGGCAACAAACCAAGCUAAAGGAAGGAAGGCGGCAUGGACCCUAAGGGCUCGGCAGGGUGCAGUGUCGGGUGCAUGAUAAGUGUGCUCGGCAGGGUGCAUUGUUGGGUGAGGCAGGAUGCAUGAAAAGGUGCACUGCUGGGUGCCUGUCAAGUGUGCUCGGCAGGGUGCUACGAGGGUGCGAGAAGGGUGCGCUGUAGGGUGCUCGACAGAGUGCUGGCAGGGUGCAGCAAAGGGUGCGCGCGGAUGCACUCUAGGGUGCAUACGUGUGCAUUGCGGUUACAAGCGGUUGAGAAAGGGUGUGAGAAGGGUGCAAGGAAGGUGCGCUGCAGGGUGCUGGCAGGGUGCAACAAAGGGUGCGCGCGGAUGCACUCUAGGGUGCAUACGUGUGCAUGGCGGUAACGGUUAAGAAAGCAAGUUAGUGGGAAGUUAUCUCCACAAACCAUGCAAGUUAGUGGGCGGUUACCUAGCACCAAAAGUGGGGAAGUUGGCAAGGAAGUUAUGUAUAUCUUGGUGGUUAUCUGGUUAUCUAAAAGGUAGUUAAUAAUCCUAUAAUAGUGGGGGAUGUCCACUAAUCCUAAAAUAAGGCAUGAACGCCACAACACCUAAGGGAAGUUGGGUUGUAACUUCCAAGUCCAGUAUGAUUAUAAAUAGGGCAUAGCCCAUAGUAUGUAAACUUGGAUUCAGACUUUGCCUAAAAGACUUGGCAAGCCAAAGACGAGUUCCCAUAUAAUUGUAGUUUGUUUUAUCAAUGAAAAAGGAAUGCCUAGUUCCACAAACUAUGUAUGCAUGUGAGCAUUGAGAAUCCCAACACUUGUGAGAAAUGAGGUAGACACUUGUGUGAAAAGAAAGGAUUGCAAUCCAAGAAGGUAUCAGAGUUGGUGUGUGCACACGAAAGCGUAGACCUGGCUUGAUAAGGCCCUCGCCUACCAGAACCAAGGCGUUGUAUGGGAGAUAGAUUUGGCUGGUCGAAGUUCAAAAGAGCCUAGAUGCCAUCACGGAGCCUUGCAUAUUGUUGCGAAACCAACAAAGUUGAGAAAAAUUCCGCUUCGUACUAAAGGCCCGUGACAGCAGCCAUGAUGCCGCCAUGACUCGCCAAGGGGUCACCAUGACCCUCCUAGGCCCGUUUAGGGCCGCCAAGGGGCCACCUUAACCUGCCUUGGUAUGCCUUGACCCGUCUUGCCCCGGCUUAACCCGCCUUGAACCGCCUUGACCCUCCUAGACUGCCAAGGGCCGCCUUGACCUUCCUAGAGCCGCCAAGGGGCUGCCUAGGGCCACCUAGGGCCGCCAUGACCCACCUAAGGCCGCAAAGGGGCUGCCUUUACACACUUUGAGCCUCCUAGGCCUGCCUAGGGCCACCUUAACCUGUCUAGGGCCGCCUUGACUAGCAUAGGGCACGCCAAGGGCCGCUAUUGGGACAUUUUGACCCGCCUUGACCCUCCUAAACCAGCGUAGAACCACCGCCAUGACUCGCCAAUGGGUCUCAAUGACUCUUCUAAGGCUGCCUUCACCCUCCUCGGCCCUGCCAGGCUCACCUAGGGCAGCCAAGGGGGCGCCAUGACCCACCAAGGUUUUACACAUCUUGACCCUCCUAGGCCCGCCUGGGGCCACCUUGACCCGUCUAGGGAUGCCAAGAGGCCGCCUUGACCAGCCUAGGGACGCCUUGACCCUCUUAGAACCGCCUAGGGCCACCAAAGAGCCGUCAUGACUCGCCAAGGGACGUCAAGGGGCUGCCUUUACACUCCUAAUGUUGUUUUCCCUAGGGCCCGCCAUGACCAGCCUAGGGCCGCCAAGGGGCUGCCUACGUCCGCCAUGAGGCCACCUUGACCCGUCUUGGGCCGCCUUGACCCGUCUUGGCCCGCAUUAGGCCGCCUGUACUCGUCUUGAACCGCCUUGGGCCAUCUAGACCCUCCGAGACCCGCCUAGGGCCGCCUUGACCCCCUAGACCCGCGUAGGGCCACUAAGAAGUCGACAUGACUCGCCAAUGGGUCUCAAUGGCUCCUCUAGGGCUCAAUGACUCGCCAAUGGGUCUCAAUGGCUGCCUUAACCCGCAUUAGGCCGCCUUGACCCGUCUUGUGUCGUCUUCACCCUUCUCGGCUCUGCCAGGCCCACCUUGGGUAGCCAAGGGGGAGCCAUAACCCACCUAGGGCCGUCACAGGGCUGCCUAUACACGCCUUGACCUUCCUAGGUCCACCUAGGGCCACCUUGACCUGUCUAGGGACUCCAAGAGGUCGCCUUGACCUGUCUAGGGUCACUAAGGGGCCGCCUUGACACGCAUAGGACCGCCCAAGGGACGUCAUGACCCGCCGAGAGGCUACCUUUACACGCAUAGGGUUGUUUUGACCUCUCUAAGGCCCGCCAUGACCCACCUAUGGCCGCCACGGGGCUGCCUAUACACGCCUUGACCUUCCUACGGAUACCUUGACCCGUCUACGGCCACCUUAACCCGCCUUGACCCACCAUGGGCUGCCUUGGACCCACCUAGGGCUGUCAUGAGGCCAGCUUGACCCGUCUAGGGCCACCUUGACCCGCCUUGGGUCGCCUUUGACCCUCCUUGGGCCACCUUAACCCUCCUUGACCCGCCUAGGGCCGCCUUGACCAGCCAAGGGCUGCCUCCUUGGGCCGCCUUGACCCUCUUAGAACUGCCUAGGGCCACCAAGAAGCCGCCAUGACUCGUCAAGGGGUUGCCAUGACCCUCGUAAGCCCGUUUAGGACCGCCUUAACUACCCUUGGGCAGCCUUCACCCUCCUCGGCCCUGCCAGGCCCACCUAGGGCAGCCAAGGGGGGGGGGGGGCCGACGACCCACCUAGGGCCGCCACGGGGCUGCUUUUACAUGCCUUGACCCUCCUAGGCCCGCCUAGGGCUGCCUUGACCCAUUUAGGGACGCCAAGGGGGCCGCCUUGACACGGCUAGGGCAACCAAGGGGACGUCUUGACCAGCCAUGGGGCUGCCUUUACACUCCUAAUGCUGUUUUGAUAUCCCUAGGGCCCGUCAUGACCCGCCUAGGGCCGUUAAGGGGCUGCUUGCUUACGUCCGCCAUAGGGCCACCUUGACCCUCCUUGGCCCGUCUUGGGCCGCCUUGACACGUCAUGGACCGCCUUGACCCGUGAUGGGCUACCUUGACCCACCUUGGCCCACCUUUACUCGUCUUGAACCGCCUUACACCGCCUUGACCCUCCUAGACCCACGUAGGGACGCCUUGACCUGCCUAGACACACGUAGGGCCACCAAGAAGCCGUCAUGACUCGCCAAGAGGUCUCAAUGACUCUUCUAGGGCCGCCAAAGGGCCGCCUUCACCCUCCUCGGCCCUGCCAGGCUCACCUAGGACAACCUACGGGGGGGCCAUGACCCACCUAGGGCCGCCUUGACCUGCCUAGGGCUGCCUUGACAUGCUUAGGGCCACCAAGGGGACGUCAUGACAAGCUGAGGGGCUACCUUUACACACCUAGGGUUGUUUUGACCUCCCUAUGGCCCGCCAUGACCCUCCUACGGCCGCCAAGGGGUUGUCUAGGGCCGCCAUGGGGCCACCUUGACCCGUCUAGAGCCGUCUUGACCCGCCUUGACCCGUUUUGGUCCGCCUUAACCCGGCUUGGCCUACCUUUGACUCGCCUUGGGCCGCCUCGACCCGCUUUGGUCCGUCUUGAUCCGUCUUGGACCGUCAUGGGCCGCUUUAACCCACCUCGAUCCGUCUUGGCCCGCCUUGAACCGCCUUGGGCCACCUUGACCCUACUAGACUCGUCAAUGGGUUGCCUAGGGCCGCCUUGACCUUCCUACUGCCGCCUUGACCCUUCUAGAGCCACCAAGAAGCCGCCAUGACUCGCAAGGGGUCGCCAUGAUCCUCGUAGGCCUUCCUUGGGCCGCCUUCACCCUCCUCGGCCUUGCCAGGCCCACCAAGGGCAGCUAAAGGGGCGCUAUGGCCCACGUAGGGCCGCCACGGGGCUACCUUUACAGGCCUUGACCCUUCUAGGCCCGCCUAGGGCCACCUUGACCCAUCUAGGUACACCAAGGGGGCCGCCUUAACACGCCUAGGGCCCCCAAGGGGACGUCUUGACACGCCUAGGGCCCCAAGAGGACGUCUUGACCAGCCAAGGGGUUGCCUUUACACUCCUAACGUUGUUUUGACCUCCCUAGGGCCCGCUAUGACCUGCCUAGGGCUGCUUACGUCCACCAUAAGGCCACCUUGACCCGCCUUGGGCCACCUUUACUCGUCUUGAACCGCCUUGGGCCGCCUUGAUCCUUCUACACCCGCCUAGGCUGCCAUGACCCUCCUAGACCCGCGUAGGGCCACCAAGAAGUUGCCAUGACUCGCCAAAGGGUCUCAAUGACUCUUCUAGGGAUGCCAAAGUGCCUCCUUAACCCGCCUUGACACGUGUUAGACCGCCUUCACCCUCCUCGGCCUUGCCAGACUCACCUAGGGAAGCCAAGGGGGGGCCAUGACCCACCUAGGGCAGCCACGGGGCUGGCUUUACACGCUUUGACCCUCCUAAGCCCACAUGGGGCCACCUUAACCCGUCUAGGGACGCCAAGAGGCCUCUUUGACCUGUCUAGGGCCGCCUUGACCCUCCUAUAACCGCCUAGGGUCACCAAGAAGCUGCCAUGACUUGCCAAGGGACGCCAAGGGGCUGCCUUUACAAGCCUAAUGUUGUUUUGACCUGCCUAGGGCCCGCCUAGGGCCGCCAAGGGGAUACCUACGUCCGCCAUGGGGCCACCUUGACCCGCCUUGGCCUGUCUUGCGCCGCCUUGACUCGCCUGGACCCUCCUUGGCCCGCAUUAAGUCGCCUUUACUCAUCUUCAACCGCCUUGACCCGUCUAGGGCCGCCUUAACCCCCUAGACCCGCGUAGGGCCACUAAGAAGCCGCCAUGACUCGCCAAGGAGCCGCCUUAACCCGCCUUAGGCCGCUUUGACCCGUCUUGGGCCGCUUUCACCCUCCUCGGCCCUGCCAGGCCCACCUAGGGCAGCCAAGGGGGUACCAUGAUCCACCUAGGGCCGCCACGGGGCUGGCUUUACACGCUUUGGCCCUCCUAGGCCCGCCUAGGGCCACCUUGACCAGUCUAGUUAUGCCAAGUUGCCGCCUUGACCUGCUUAGGGCCGCCAAUGGGACGCCUUGACACACCUAGGGCUGCCAAGGGGACGUCAUGAUCCGCCGCCUUUACACUCCUAGGGUCGUUUUGACCUGCCCGUCUAGGGACGCCAAGAGGCCGUCUUGACCUACCUAGGGCCGCCAAGAGGCCACCUUGACACGCCUAGGGCCGCCAAGGGGACGUCAUGACCCGUCGAGGGGCUGCCUUUACACGUCUAGGGUCAUUUUGACCUCCUUAGGGCCCGCCAUGACCCUCCUAUGACUGUUAAGGGGCUGCCUAGGGCCGCCAUGGGCCACCUUGACCCGUCUAGGGCCGCGUUGACCCACCUUGACCCGCUUUGGCCCGCCUUAACCCGCCUUGGACCGCCAUGGGCCGCCUUGACCCGCCUUGGACCUCCUUGGGCCGCCAUGACCCGCCUUCGGGCUGCCAUACCGCCUGGCGCCUUGACCUGCCUUGAACCGCCCUGACCCUCUUAGACCCGCCUAGGCGCCUUAACCCUUCUAGACCCGCUUUGGUCCCGCCUUGACCCGCCAUGGGCCGCCUUGACCCGCCUUGAACCUCCUAGACCCACCUAGGCCCACCUUGACCUGCCUUGACCCUCCUUGGGCCACCAUGAUCCGCCUUGACCCUCUUAGGCCGGUCUAAGGCCGCCUUGACCCUCCUUGACCCUCCUAGGGCCACAAAGAAGCUGCCAUGACUCGCCAAGGAGUCGCCAUGACCCUCCUCAGCCCAUCUAGGGCCGCCAAGUGGCCCCGUUAACCCGCCUUAGGCUGCCUUGACCCGUCUUAACCCGCAUUGACCCUCCUCGGCUUUGCUAGGCCCACGUAAGGCAGCCAAAGGGGCGCCAUGACCCAGUUAGGGCCGCGAAGGGGCUGCCUUUAUAUAAGAAUGUGUUGGAAGGAGUCUUUAUUAACAAAUGGAAUGGUUCCUCUCAUUUCACCUUCCCGAUGUGAAACUGAUGUUGUGCUGGUACCAACAAUAGGCUAUGACCAUAAUUUUUUUUUUUGUUGAGAGGAAUGACCAUAAAAAGUUGGACACUAGAAAACUUCUAAAACACAAACAUUAAGACCUCGUUUGGUUCGUGAAAUGGUUCAUUUAUCUUAAGGAAAGAAAACGGAAAUAAAAUUUCAUAAUAACUUUCUAUUUCGACGUUUGGUAACGCAAGGAAAUUCAUCGGAAAAGUUGUUAAAUUAAUAUUAAAAUAUUGUGUUGUGACUAAUUAAUGCAGGUAAAAUAAGAAGAAAAGUGGUUCAUUUGGAUUUUAGAAGGAAUCACUUUCCUCUAUGUUUUAUUUCCUUUUUCUUUCAAACACAGGAAAAGAAUAACUUUGCUUUGAUGAUGCUUACUUUCCACGGAACAAAAAAAACAAAGUGAACUGCUCAAACACUGUGGUAAACUUUCGAAAAUUA